rnacentral:rRNA from 1 species
CCUUAGUAUGUAUACUAAGCUGAAUGUACUGUAAGAAUAAGGAUCGGCUAACUCCGUGCCAGCAGCCGCGGUAAUACGGAGGAUCCAAGCGUUAUCCGGAUUUAUUGGGUUUAAAGGGUGCGUAGGUGGCUUUUUAAGUCAGGGGUGAAAGACGGUAGCUUAACUAUCGCAGUGCCCUUGAUACUGAAGAGCUUGAAUGAACUAGAGGUAGGCGGAAUGUGACAAGUAGCGGUGAAAUGCAUAGAUAUGUCACAGAACACCAAUUGCGAAGGCAGCUUACUAUGGUUAAAUUGACACUGAGGCACGAAAGCGUGGGGAUCAAACAGGAUUAGAUACCCUGGUAGUCCACGCCCU